rnacentral:misc_RNA from 1 species
AACGCACCUUGCGCUCCUUGGCAUUCCGAGGAGCAUGCCUGUUUGAGUGUCAUUAAAUCCUCAACUCUCAUAUCUUCCUUGUGUUGAUUGUGUGUUGGACGUGGAAGCUGCUGGCUUGUUCGGAGUCGGCUCUUCUGAAAUAUAUUAGCAGGACGUCACGCUGUGCGACUUGGUAUUGAUAGUUGUCUUACCAGGUAGCAGUAGCAAAUUGGUCCAGCUCCAAGCCGUCACUUUGAUGACAACGUUGACGAUUUGACCUCAAAUCAGGUAGGAUUACCCGCUGAACUUAA